CACACACACACACACACACAGUAUUAUGAGACAAUCAACAACUUACUGUUCCAAUAUUAUUAUUGAAAUGAACAUUAAAUUAGUCAGUAUGAUGUCAUCAGUGUGACACGCCAGAUUAUUUAAACCAAAUGAGAUUAGCAGGGCCACCAAUCAGACUUCAGAAAGACGUCAUUCACGUCUUUUGUUUUGGCCCCAAACAUGUCAGGUGUGGCUAAUCAGCUUAAUCGGUCUGUCUGUGUGCGCGCGUGUGUGCGUGUGUGUGCGUGCGUCUCAGAUUACAGAGAUGUUGGGGAUCGAUUAGCAGAAUAACAAAGCACAGGUGUGUUGAAUUAGCGUGAAGCACUACAGCGUACACUGUAAUUCAGAGAACACCUGUGCCGCAGGACGGUCGGUAAACAUGUGGGUUUCCGUGUUUGUGGAAAAAUAUAAACGCCCGUGCUAGCUCCUAUAAGGGCCCAGAGCAGUGAGGGAUCAUGGGAGAUGUGAGUCAACAUUGUGGCCUGUCAACAUGAAGUGAGGAAACACUCGUACCUUACCCUGGAUUUGAGAAAUGCACCUUAAAUUUCAGUUCUCAUUCUACUGUAUUCAAGCGGUGCACACAAAUUAUAAACAAGGCAGUACAGUAUGACAUCACUAAUCAAAGCACAGGCCUAAACACCUGAUUGGUGGUUUUUUGUCACACAAUGUGUGUGUGUGUGUGUGUGUGUGUGUGUGUGUUUUUGUACAGUGAUACCCUCCAUUCACACUGGUUUAUCUGUCUUUAAGUUUUGAUUUUGAUGAAUGCUAGUGUGAUGGAGUUUAAUGGAGAAUGCUUGUAUCUGAUGGAAUUUAGUGGAGAAUGAUUGCAUCUGAUGGAGUUUAAUGGAGAAUACUGGGGUCUGAUGGAGUUUAAUGGAGAAUGCUGGUGUCUGAUGGUGUUUAGUGGAGAAUGCUGGUGUCUGAUGGAGUUUAAUGGAGAUUGCUGGUGUCUGAUGGAGUUUAAUGGAGAAUGCUGGUGUCUGAUGGAGUUUAAUGGAGAAUGCUGGUGUCUGAUGGAGUUUAGUGGAGAAUGCUGGUAUCUGAUGGAGUUUAAUGGAGAAUGUUGGUGUCUGAUGGAGUUUAGUGGAGAAUGCUGGUAUCUGAUAGUGAGAAUGUUGGUGUCUGAUGGAGUUUAGUGGAGAAUGCUGGUGUCUGAUGGAGUUUAGUGGAGAAUGCUGGUGUCUGAUGGAGUUUAAUGGAGAAUGCUGGUGUCUGAUGGAGUUUAAUGGAGAA
ensembl:lncRNA